rnacentral:rRNA from 1 species
UACGUAGGGUGCAAGCGUUAAUCGGAAUUACUGGGCGUAAAGCGUGCGCAGGCGGUUCGUUGUGUCCGUCGUGAAAGCCCCGGGCUUAACCUGGGAACUGCGAUGGAAACUAGCGAGCUGGAGUGUGGCAGAGGGGGGUGGAAUUCCGCGUGUAGCAGUGAAAUGCGUAGAGAUGCGGCGGAACACCGAUGGCGAAGGCAGCCCCCUGGGCUUAAAUUGACGCUGAGGCACGAAAGCGUGGGGAGCAAACAGG